GGUUAAGCGACUAAGCGUACACGGUGGAUGCCCUGGCAGUCAGAGGCGAUGAAGGACGUGCUAAUCUGCGAUAAGCGUCGGUAAGGUGAUAUGAACCGUUAUAACCGGCGAUUUCCGAAUGGGGAAACCCAGUGUGAUUCGUCACACUAUCAUUAACUGAAUCCAUAGGUUAAUGAGGCGAACCGGGGGAACUGAAACAUCUAAGUACCCCGAGGAAAAGAAAUCAACCGAGAUUCCCCCAGUAGCGGCGAGCGAACGGGGAGGAGCCCAGAGCCUGAAUCAGUGUGUGUGUUAGUGGAAGCGUCUGGAAAGGCGCGCGAUACAGGGUGACAGCCCCGUACACAAAAAUGCACAUACUGUGAGCUCGAUGAGUAGGGCGGGACACGUGGUAUCCUGUCUGAAUAUGGGGGGACCAUCCUCCAAGGCUAAAUACUCCUGACUGACCGAUAGUGAACCAGUACCGUGAGGGAAAGGCGAAAAGAACCCCGGCGAGGGGAGUGAAAAAGAACCUGAAACCGUGUACGUACAAGCAGUGGGAGCCUCUUUUAUGGGGUGACUGCGUACCUUUUGUAUAAUGGGUCAGCGACUUAUAUUCUGUAGCAAGGUUAACCGAAUAGGGGAGCCGAAGGGAAACCGAGUCUUAACUGGGCGUUAAGUUGCAGGGUAUAGACCCGAAACCCGGUGAUCUAGCCAUGGGCAGGUUGAAGGUUGGGUAACACUAACUGGAGGACCGAACCGACUAAUGUUGAAAAAUUAGCGGAUGACUUGUGGCUGGGGGUGAAAGGCCAAUCAAACCGGGAGAUAGCUGGUUCUCCCCGAAAGCUAUUUAGGUAGCGCCUCGUGAAUUCAUCUCCGGGGGUAGAGCACUGUUUCGGCAAGGGGGUCAUCCCGACUUACCAACCCGAUGCAAACUGCGAAUACCGGAGAAUGUUAUCACGGGAGACACACGGCGGGUGCUAACGUCCGUCGUGAAGAGGGAAACAACCCAGACCGCCAGCUAAGGUCCCAAAGUCAUGGUUAAGUGGGAAACGAUGUGGGAAGGCCCAGACAGCCAGGAUGUUGGCUUAGAAGCAGCCAUCAUUUAAAGAAAGCGUAAUAGCUCACUGGUCGAGUCGGCCUGCGCGGAAGAUGUAACGGGGCUAAACCAUGCACCGAAGCUGCGGCAGCGACACUAUGUGUUGUUGGGUAGGGGAGCGUUCUGUAAGCCUGUGAAGGUGUACUGUGAGGUAUGCUGGAGGUAUCAGAAGUGCGAAUGCUGACAUAAGUAACGAUAAAGCGGGUGAAAAGCCCGCUCGCCGGAAGACCAAGGGUUCCUGUCCAACGUUAAUCGGGGCAGGGUGAGUCGACCCCUAAGGCGAGGCCGAAAGGCGUAGUCGAUGGGAAACAGGUUAAUAUUCCUGUACUUGGUGUUACUGCGAAGGGGGGACGGAGAAGGCUAUGUUGGCCGGGCGACGGUUGUCCCGGUUUAAGCGUGUAGGCUGGUUUUCCAGGCAAAUCCGGAAAAUCAAGGCUGAGGCGUGAUGACGAGGCACUACGGUGCUGAAGCAACAAAUGCCCUGCUUCCAGGAAAAGCCUCUAAGCAUCAGGUAACAUUAAAUCGUACCCCAAACCGACACAGGUGGUCAGGUAGAGAAUACCAAGGCGCUUGAGAGAACUCGGGUGAAGGAACUAGGCAAAAUGGUGCCGUAACUUCGGGAGAAGGCACGCUGAUAUGUAGGUGAAGCGACUUGCUCGUGGAGCUGAAAUCAGUCGAAGAUACCAGCUGGCUGCAACUGUUUAUUAAAAACACAGCACUGUGCAAACACGAAAGUGGACGUAUACGGUGUGACGCCUGCCCGGUGCCGGAAGGUUAAUUGAUGGGGUUAGCGGUAACGCGAAGCUCUUGAUCGAAGCCCCGGUAAACGGCGGCCGUAACUAUAACGGUCCUAAGGUAGCGAAAUUCCUUGUCGGGUAAGUUCCGACCUGCACGAAUGGCGUAAUGAUGGCCAGGCUGUCUCCACCCGAGACUCAGUGAAAUUGAACUCGCUGUGAAGAUGCAGUGUACCCGCGGCAAGACGGAAAGACCCCGUGAACCUUUACUAUAGCUUGACACUGAACAUUGAGCCUUGAUGUGUAGGAUAGGUGGGAGGCUUUGAAGUGUGGACGCCAGUCUGCAUGGAGCCGGCCUUGAAAUACCACCCUUUAAUGUUUGAUGUUCUAACGUUGGCCCCUGACCGGGGUUGCGGACAGUGUCUGGUGGGUAGUUUGACUGGGGCGGUCUCCUCCUAAAGAGUAACGGAGGAGCACGAAGGUUGGCUAAUCCUGGUCGGACAUCAGGAGGUUAGUGCAAUGGCAUAAGCCAGCUUGACUGCGAGCGUGACGGCGCGAGCAGGUGCGAAAGCAGGUCAUAGUGAUCCGGUGGUUCUGAAUGGAAGGGCCAUCGCUCAACGGAUAAAAGGUACUCCGGGGAUAACAGGCUGAUACCGCCCAAGAGUUCAUAUCGACGGCGGUGUUUGGCACCUCGAUGUCGGCUCAUCACAUCCUGGGGCUGAAGUAGGUCCCAAGGGUAUGGCUGUUCGCCAUUUAAAGUGGUACGCGAGCUGGGUUUAGAACGUCGUGAGACAGUUCGGUCCCUAUCUGCCGUGGGCGCUGGAGAACUGAGGGGGGCUGCUCCUAGUACGAGAGGACCGGAGUGGACGCAUCACUGGUGUUCGGGUUGUCAUGCCAAUGGCACUGCCCGGUAGCUAAAUGCGGAAGAGAUAAGUGCUGAAAGCAUCUAAGCACGAAACUUGCCCCGAGAUGAGUUCUCCCUGACUCCUUGAGAGUCCUGAAGGAACGUUGAAGACGACGACGUUGAUAGGCCGGAUGUGUAAGCGCAGCGAUGCGUUGAGCUAACCGGUACUAAUGAACCGUGAGGCUUAACCUU
rnacentral:rRNA from 1 species